GACGAACGCUGGCGGCGUGCCUAACACAUGCAAGUCGAGCGAGAUCCAUCCGGUGGCAACACCGGUGAAGAUCUAGCGGCGAACGGGUGAGUAACACGUGAGAAACCUGCCCCGGAGACCGGGAUAACCCGAGGAAACUCGGGCUAAUACUGGAUACCCCCAUCUCAUCGCAUGUUGAGAUGAGGAAAUGCUCCGACGCU
rnacentral:rRNA from 1 species